rnacentral:sRNA from 1 species
AUGGUGUCGACUGGGAGCAGGAGGAGGGUCUUCGAGGGGCCUGGGGGCGGGGGACUAAGAUGGACGCCUGGGAAGGGAACUGGGAGGCAGCGGGGUGCCUGGGGGCCGAGGGCUGAGGACGGGGUGCGGAGGCGCACUCUGGGAAUGCCGAGAGGGUCCCGCAGAGACGUCAGGGCGCCCGUGCGGGCCGGCGGGGAGCUGGGGGGCUAGGGGCGGACGCCCGACGUGAUGGCCCUUCCCGCAGGCGCCGCGGCUCUGCUACUGCUGCUGCCCGCCACCAUGUUCCACCUGCUCCUGGCGGCCCGUUCGGGCCCCGCGCGCCUGCUGGGUCCACCCGCGUCCCUGCCCGGGCUGGAGGCGCUGUGGAGCCCACGGGCGCUGCUGCUGUGGCUCGCCUGGCUCGGCCUGCAGGCGGCGCUCUACCUACUGCCGGCGCGCAAGGUGGCCGAGGGGCAGGAAUUGAAGGACAAGAGUCGCCUGCGCUAUCCUAUUAACGGCUUCCAGGCCCUGGUGCUGACAGCCCUGUUGGUGGGGCUGGGGAUGUCAGCGGGGCUGCCUCUGGGGGCGCUCCCGGAAAUGCUCCUGCCCUUGGCGUUUGUCGCCACCCUCACCGCUUUCAUCUUCAGCCUCUUUCUCUACAUGAAGGCGCAGGUAGCCCCAGUUUCGGCCCUGGCACCUGGGGGGAACUCAG